AAGGCUCAGUAUAACAGCUAUUAUUUAUUUGAUCGUAAACAUAGUUACUUGGAUAACUGUGGUAAUUCCAGAGCUAAUACAUGCAAACAACAUGGAUCACUGUAGCAAUAUGGUUGAAACGUGUGCUUUUAUUAGAUUAAAACCAUAUCCAUCUCGUAUGGAUUUGUUUUAGAUGAAUCUGGAUAAUUAUGGCUGAUCGUAUGGUCNUGCACCGACGAUAGAUCAUUCAAAUGUCUGCCCUAUCAACUAUUGAUGGUAGUAUAGAGGACUACCAUGGUUGCAACGGGUAACGGGGAAUCAGGGUUCGA
rnacentral:rRNA from 1 species